CCUACGGGUGGCUGCAGUGGGGAAUAUUGCACAAUGGGCGCAAGCCUGAUGCAGCCAUGCCGCGUGUGUGAAGAAGGCCUUCGGGUUGUAAAGCACUUUCAGCGGGGAGGAAGGCGGUGAGGUUAAUAACCUCAUCGAUUGACGUUACCCGCAGAAGAAGCACCGGCUAACUCCGUGCCAGCAGCCGCGGUAAUACGGAGGGUGCAAGCGUUAAUCGGAAUUACUGGGCGUAAAGCGCACGCAGGCGGUCUGUCAAGUCGGAUGUGAAAUCCCCGGGCUCAACCUGGGAACUGCAUUCGAAACUGGCAGGCUAGAGUCUUGUAGAGGGGGGUAGAAUUCCAGGUGUAGCGGUGAAAUGCGUAGAGAUCUGGAGGAAUACCGGUGGCGAAGGCGGCCCCCUGGACAAAGACUGACGCUCAGGUGCGAAAGCGUGGGGAGCAAACAGGAUUAAUACCCUAGUAGUC
rnacentral:rRNA from 1 species